rnacentral:rRNA from 1 species
GGAUGAGCCCGCGGCCUAUCAGCUUGUUGGUGGGGUGAUGGCCUACCAAGGCGACGACGGGUAGCCGGCCUGAGAGGGUGACCGGCCACACUGGGACUGAGAUACGGCCCAGACUCCUACGGGAGGCAGCAGUGGGGAAUAUUGCAUAAUGGGCGCAAGCCUGAUGCAGCGACGCCGCGUGAGGGAUGACGGCCUUCGGGUUGUAAACCUCUUUCAGCAGGGACGAAGCGCAAGUGACGGUACCUGUAGAAGAAGGACCGGCCAACUACGUGCCAGCAGCCGCGGUAAUACGUAGGGUCCGAGCGUUGUCCGGAAUUACUGGGCGUAAAGAGCUCGUAGGUGGUUUGUCGCGUUGUUCGUGAAAACUCACAGCUUAGCUGUGGGCGUGCGGGCGAUACGGGCAGACUGGAGUACUGCAGGGGAGACUGGAAUUCCUGGUGUAGCGGUGGAAUGCGCAGAUAUCAGGAGGAACACCGGUGGCGAAGGCGGGUCUCUGGGCAGUAACUGACGCUGAGGAGCGAAAGCGUGGGGAGCGAACAGGAUUAGAUACCCUGGUAGUCCACGCCGUAAACGGUGGGUACUAGGUGUGGGUUUCCUUCCUUGGGAUCCGUGCCGUAGCUAACGCAUUAAGUACCCCGCCUGGGGAGUACGGCCGCAAGGCUAAAACUCAAAGGAAUUGACGGGGGCCCGCACAAGCGGCGGAGCAUGUGGAUUAAUUCGAUGCAACGCGAAGAACUUACCUGGGUUUGACAUGCACAGGACGCCGGCAGAGAUGUCGGUUCCCUUGUGGCCUGUGUGCAGGUGGUGCAUGGCUGUCGUCAGCUCGUGUCGUGAGAUGUUGGGUUAAGUCCCGCAACGAGCGCAACCCUUGUCUCAUGUUGCCAGCACGUUAUGGUGGGGACUCGUGAGAGACUGCCGGGGUCAACUCGGAGGAAGGUGGGGAUGACGUCAAGUCAUCAUGCCCCUUAUGUCCAGGGCUUCACACAUGCUACAAUGGCCGGUACAAAGGGCUGCGAUGCCGUGAGGUGGAGCGAAUCCUUUCAAAGCCGGUCUCAGUUCGGAUCGGGGUCUGCAACUCGACCCCGUGAAGUCGGAGUCGCUAGUAAUCGCAGAUCAGCAACGCUGCGGUGAAUACGUUCCCGGGCCUUGUACACACCGCCCGUCACGUCAUGAAAGUCGGUAACACCCGAAGCCGGUGGCCUAACCCGUAAGGGAGGGAGCCGUCGAAGGUGGGGCUGG